AUCCUACACAGAGAGUAAUAAGUUUGACCGUGAAGUCUCGACUGAGUCAACUUUUUUGCUGAUUGAAAACUAUUUCCUAACAUCUCCGUGGUCUCGCAAGAGGCAACGGGAAUUUUUGAAAAACCCACUCCCAUCCUUUACUUGAUGAGU
rnacentral:snRNA from 1 species